AGUGGCGAACGGGUGAGUAAUGCAUAGGAAUCUACCUAGUAGUACGGGAUAGCCACUAGAAAUGGUGGGUAAUACUGUAUAAUCCCCGCGGGGGAAAGAUUUAUCGCUAUUAGAUGAGCCUACGUUAGAUUAGCUAGUUGGUAAGGUAAUGGCAUACCAAGGCUAUGAUCUAUAGUUGGUCUGAGAGGACGAUCAGCCACACUGGAACUGAGAUACGGUCCAGACUCCUACGGGAGGCAGCAGUGGGGAAUAUUGGACAAUGGGCGAAAGCCUGAUCCAGCUAUGCCGCGUGAGUGAAGAAGGCCUUCGGGUUGUAAAACUCUUUCAAUAGGGAAGAUAAUGACGGUACCUAUAGAAGAAGUCCCGGCAAACUCUGUGCCAGCAGCCGCGGUAAUACGGAGGGGGCGAGCGUUGUUCGGGAUUAUUG
rnacentral:rRNA from 1 species